AUUGAACGCUGGCGGCAGGCCUAACACAUGCAAGUCGAACGAGUGGCGGACGGGUGAGUAAUGUCUGGGAAACUGCCUGAUGGAGGGGGAUAACUACUGGAACCGGUAGCUAAUACCGCAUACCAUCAGCUGUGCCCAGAUGGGAUUAUCUAGUUGGUGGGGUAACGGCUCACCACGGCGAGGAUCCCUAGCUGGUCUGAGAGGAUAACAUGCCACACUGGAAAUGAGACGCGGUCUGGAUCCCGACGGUGGGCAGCAGUGGGGAAUAUUGCACAAUGGGCGAAAGCCUGAUGAAGCCAUGCCGCGUGCAUGAAGAAGGCCUUCGGGUUGUAAAGUACUUUCAGCGGGGAGGCGUUACCCGCAGAAGAAGCACCGGCUAACUCCGUGCAAGCAGCCGCGGUAAUC
rnacentral:rRNA from 1 species